GCUGCGGGUAUUUUGUAGAGACGGACGGAAAGCACCCAGUCAUCAACGGUUUUACAUAUAUGGUCCCGAAUUUACACGACGUAGUUAUCGGUGGGACAAGACAGACGGGGAAUAUCCGGAAAACGAACGACCCACGUGACACGGACACCAUCUGGAAGGGAAUCUUGGCUUUGAACUCUCAAAUGAAGGGUGCGGAGGUU